rnacentral:rRNA from 1 species
GGCCUUGACAUACUAAGAACUUUCCAGAGAUGGAUUGGUGCCUUCGGGAACUUAGAUACAGGUGCUGCAUGGCUGUCGUCAGCUCGUGUCGUGAGAUGUUGGGUUAAGUCCCGNAACGAGCGCAACCCUUUUCCUAUUUGCCAGCGGGUCAUGCCGGGAACUUUAAGGAUACUGCCAGUGACAAACUGGAGGAAGGCGGGGACGACGUCAAGUCAUCAUGGCCCUUACGGCCAGGGCUACACACGUGCUACAAUGGUCGGUACAAAGGGUUGCUACCUCGCGAGAGGAUGCUAAUCUCAAAAAAGCCGAUCGUAGUCCGGAUCGCAGUCUGCAACUCGACUGCGUGAAGUCGGAAUCGCUAGUAAUCGCGGAUCAGAAUGCCGCGGUGAAUACGUUCCCGGGCUUUGUACACACCGCCCGUCACACCAUGGGAGUUUGUUGCACCAGAAGUAGGUAGUCUAACCGCAAGGAGGACGCUUACCACGGUGUGGCCGAUGACUGGGGUGAAGUCGUAACAAGGUAAGCGUAGAUGA